UACGGAGGGUGCAAGCGUUAUCCGGAUUUACUGGGUUUAAAGGGUGCGUAGGCGGGAAAAUAAGUCAGUGGUGAAAGCACCGGGCUCAACUCGGUAACUGCCAUUGAUACUGUUUUUCUUGAAUGCGAUUGAGGUAAGCGGAAUGUUGCAUGUAGCGGUGAAAUGCGUAGAGAUCGGGAGGAACACCAGAGGCGAAGGCGGCGACCUGGACAGAUACUGACACUCAACUACGAAAGCGUGGGGAGCAAACAGG
rnacentral:rRNA from 1 species